AGCUGGACCAGUCUCUCCAGAACGGCCACGCGGUCCAGGAGGUCCAAUUGGGCCAGGCAGGCCAUUAGCUCCAUCCUUUCCAGCUGGACCGACAGGGCCAGGUGGCCCCUAAAGAGGAGGAAACAUUAAGGGGACGGUUCUCCAGCAGGUCCAGUCAGUCCAGGAGGUCCCACAGGGCCAGGAGGACCACGGUCUCCAGGACCACCAGGAGUGCCCUGCUUGCCAGGCUCACCCUGUAAAGAGGUGACAGUUGAUGUCAUAUGUCACAGAUGUCAUUAAGAUUACUCACAGGAGGACCAUCUUCCCCUGGCUCUCCCUUUUCCCCUGGAGGACCAGCUGGACCACGUAGACCUGCAUCACCCUGUCUGCCUGGGGGACCACCAUCACCACGCACACCCUUAGGACCAUCUUUCCCAGGAGAACCAGCAGGACCUGCGGGACCAGGGUUACCCUGAAAAAUAGGGAAUGAGAGAGCUGAAGAUCAAGCUUUUGAUAAUAAACACUGAAUGUACAUACAUAAUCAUGAAUAUUUUACUCCACUUGAACCUAUACCCUUUUUCAAAUUUGACCAAAGUUAAGAACUAAAGUCUUGUUGAGAUUGGAACAAUGAUCUGAAAAGUAAGAGACAAUGUUUUACAUUUUUUACUUUAAAAAAUAAUAAUUCAUGCUUUUUUAAAUUGGUCUGCCUUUUAUCUAAAAUAGCUUAACUGUUAUACAUAAAGCAAACUGUAGGUUGACAUGAAGAGAAACACAAAAGCUCAUCUGGCUUAAAAUGGCUUAUAAGAAAUUAAAAAGAAACUCUGAAUCUUACUGUCUCUUUCUAA